CCUACGGGCGGCAGCAGUGAGGAAUAUUGGUCAAUGGACGCGAGUCUGAACCAGCCAUGUAGCGUGAAGGAUGACUGCUCUAUGAGUUGUAAACUGCUUUUGUAAAGGAGUAAAAGGAGACACGUGUGCCUGUUUGAAAGUAUUGUAUGAAUAAGGAUCGGCUAACUCCGUGCCAGCAGCCGCGGUAAUACGGAGGAUCCGAGCGUUAUCCGGAUUUAUUGGGUUUAAAGGGUGCGUAGAUGGUUUGUUAAGUUAGUUGUGAAAGUUUGCGGCUCAACUUUAAAAUUGCAAUUGAUACUGGUAGGCUAGAGUGCAGUUGAGGUAGGCGGAAUGUGUGGUGUAGCGGUGAAAUGCUUAGAGAUCACGAAGAACCCCGAUUGCGAAGGCAGCUUACCAAGCU
rnacentral:rRNA from 1 species